AGAAUAUAAGAAGAAGGGAACGUCCCACUAGUGGUCUGAUUAACGAGGGAAAGAUGGUUCAGAUGAAACUGGAAUCGACGAGAAAGUUUUUAAAACAAGGAGGUAGCCAUGCUAAGAAAGAAUACAUCUCCUGUUUAAAGCAGCAGUACCAGCACCUUUCUAUUGAAAUACAAGCUUACACCAAAAAUGGAAAAAGGGAGCAAGCAAAGUUGGCGUUAACGAAGAAAAAUUAUGUAAAAGCAGAAUUGGACAAACUGGUUUCAGCAUGAGAUUUAUAUUGUUGCAGUUUUCAAACCAAUGUUUGCUAUUUCUAUCUUACUUGUGGGUGUUUUCCUAUGUACCGCUCCCGAAACAUAUAUAGUUCAAUAUCGCAGUUUAAUUUUAUCUAAUUUUAGAUAUGCAAUAAAAAUAUGUAGAUGUAACAUGUUA